rnacentral:rRNA from 1 species
AGAGUUUGAUCCUGGCUCAGGAUGAACGCUGGCGGCGUGCUUAACACAUGCAAGUCGAGCGGGAAUUAGUUAGGUGCUUGCACCUAACUAAUUUUAGCGGCUUUUAGCGGCGGACGGGUGAGUAACGCGUGGGUAACCUGCCUUAUACAGGGGGAUAACAUAUUGAAAAGUAUGCUAAUACCGCAUAAGCGCACAAUAUCGCAUGAUAUGGUGUGAAAAGCUGAGACGGUAUAAGAUGGACCCGCGUCUGAUUAGCUAGUAGGUGAGGUAAUGGCUCACCAAGGCGACGAUCAGUAGCCGACCUGAGAGGGUGAACGGCCACACUGGAACUGAGACACGGUCCAGACUCCUACGGGAGGCAGCAGUGGGGAAUAUUGCGCAAUGGGGGAAACCCUGACGCAGCAACGCCGCGUGGAGGAAGAAGGUCUUCGGAUUGUAAACUCCUGUCUUCUGGGACGAUAAUGACGGUACCAGAGGAGGAAGCCCCGGCUAACUACGUGCCAGCAGCCGCGGUAAUACGUAGGGGGCAAGCGUUAUCCGGAAUUACUGGGCGUAAAGGGUGCGUAGGCGGUAAUGUAAGUCAGGUGUGAAAGCCCGAAGCUCAACUUCGGGAUUGCACUUGAAACUACAUAACUAGAGUACAGGAGAGGUGAGUGGAAUUCCUAGUGUAGCGGUGAAAUGCGUAGAUAUUAGGAGGAACACCAGUGGCGAAGGCGACUUACUGGACUGUAACUGACGCUGAGGCACGAAAGCGUGGGGAGCAAACAGGAUUAGAUACCCUGGUAGUCCACGCUGUAAACGAUGAGAACUAGGUGUUGGGACGGUUAAUCGUCUCAUUGCCGCAGCUAACGCAUUAAGUUGUCCGCCUGGGGAGUACGGUCGCAAGAUUAAAACUCAAAGGAAUUGACGGGGACCCGCACAAGCAGCGGAGCAUGUGGUUUAAUUCGAAGCAACGCGAAGAACCUUACCAGGUCUUGACAUCCCUCUGAAUGGCGCUUAGCAGCGCAGGUCUUUCGGGACAGAGGAGACAGGUGGUGCAUGGUUGUCGUCAGCUCGUGUCGUGAGAUGUUGGGUUAAGUCCCGCAACGAGCGCAACCCUUAUCUUUAGUUGCCAGCACGUAAGCUGUGCACUCUAAUCAGACUGCCGGGGAUAACUCGGAGGAAGGUGGGGAUGACGUCAAAUCAUCAUGCCCCUUAUGAUCUGGGCUACACACGUGCUACAAUGGCCGGUACAACGGGAAGCAAGCUGGCAACAGCAAGCCAAUCCCAAAAAUAACGUCUCAGUUCGGAUUGUAGUCUGCAACUCGACUACAUGAAGCUGGAAUCGCUAGUAAUCGCGAAUCAGAAUGUCGCGGUGAAUUCGUUCCCGGGUCUUGUACACACCGCCCGUCACACCAUGGGAGUCGGAUAUGCCCGAAGUCAGUGACCCAACCGCAAGGAGGGAGCUGCCGAAGGGGGAGCCGAUAACUGGGGUGAAGUCGUAACAAGGUAACC